GUUUGGGCCCAGGCGGGCGUUGACUGGUCAGUGUGCCGCUCCUUUGAACGCGCCUGAGCGCCCGGCUCGCCCUACGCCUGCGCAGUGGGACGGGCGCGUUUGGCGCGGCUUGUGUGUGAGGCGCGGGAGGUGGCGGCGUGGCCCGGGUUCCCUCAGGUGUUCCGAGGCGGCAUGGACGUCUCUGCUCAGGUGGUCUGCGCGUCUCUCGGGGAUUUUCCCCCGGCGCCGCGUGGACCUGCUGAAGGAGAGCGCCGGAAGGCCUAGCGUUCCCUCGGGGCUGAUGAGCGGGCUUCGGCCUGCCCUCCGCGGAGCCGAGAACGGCCUCUUGGCUGCGGUGGUCGGAUGCGAGCCCCCCGCUUUCCUGAGAGCUCCUAAUAAAAGCAGUUGUGCGUGUGUGUGUGUGCGCGUGUGCGAGUGUGAGCAGUGCACAAGCGGUCCAUGUAAAUCUCGGUGACCACGCGACAACCUCAGACAUCCUUAGCUUCCCAUCAUGGCUCAGUGUCCCAGGGAAGGCAGAGUCCUGGAAAAUACAAUUCCCGUGGAUGAUCUCUGUUGAUAUCAGCCACCUGCUAUGCCAGGCAAGACACCUGUUGAUGUACCAAAAAGCUACCUCCUGGGGACUUAAAGAGCUUUUAUGUUUAUAUUUUGAGACAGCAUCUGUAAUGGCUAUUCCUGGUUGUCAAUUUGACUAUAUCUGGAAUGAACUAUAAUCCGGAAUUGGAAGACUCACCCGUGAUCCUGAUCUUGAGGAUGGGAGAUACAAGUUUCUGACCUGGAUCUUGGCAUGGAGAUCUUGAGCCAUAGUGGCUAUGAAUCCCAGGAGUCAUAAGGCAAGAAGAUCUCUGAGUUCAAGGUCAUUUGGGACAAAGCAAGUCCCACCAGAUCCAGGCAUGGUGACACACCUUUAAUCUGGGGCACACUUUCUGCUGGAGACCUACAUAAGGACAUUGGAAGAAGGAAAAUUUGCUCUUCUUUGCCUGCUUGCCUUGCGGGCCUGAGCAACUGCUAGAUCUUUGGACUUCCAUUCACAGCUGACCAUUGUUGGGGAGUUGGACUACAGACUGUAAGUCAUCAUAACAAUUUCCCUUACUAUAUAGAGACUACUCAUAAGUUCUGUGACUCUAGAGAACCCUGACUAAUACAGCAUCUCACUUGAUAGCCUUGAACCUGAGAUGCUCCUGCCUCAGCCUCUAGAAUGCUGAUAUUACAGGCCCUGCUACCACACUGGUCUCCAACGCUGUCUUUGUUCCUGGCCUGAAGGGCAUUCUGUAGACCCCUCCUCACCAUUAUGCACUUUCUUGACCACAUUUUGUC
ensembl:processed_transcript